rnacentral:snoRNA from 1 species
AGCUUGAUGAUGAAUGUCUCUUGUGAUUGCUUGCUUGUCUUAUAAGCAAAGUGAUCUGUCGUUUCACCGACACUGAAAGCU